rnacentral:rRNA from 1 species
UACGGAGGGUGCAAGCGUUGUUCGGAAUUAUUGGGCGUAAAGCGCACGUAGGCGGGUCUAUAAGUCGAUUGUGAAAGCCCUGGGCUUAACCCGGGAAUGGCAGUCGAUACUGUAGAUCUUGAAUGCUUGAGAGGGUGGUGGAAUUCCAGGUGUAGAAGUGAAAUUCGUAGAUAUCUGGAGGAACAUCGGAGGCGAAGGCGGCCACCUGGCAAGACAUUGACGCUGAGGUGCGAAAGCGUGGGGAGCAAACAGG